AAGAUUUUGAGAUAUUUUCGGAGACACUAACUAAGAUUUUUUAGGACUUUGCGUAAUUUUCUGAUUUCAGUUGUUGCUUAAUGACAUUUAAAGUUUUGUAACAGCUUUAUUGUCAAGUGGCAUGCCGGUAGAGUCAACGUUGUUGUCACUCAUGACUUUACGGAUAUAGAUGAGUCUUGCCUGAUCAAAUGAGCACUGAAGCUGUUUCAUCAAUCCACGAAUUUGUGAAGUAGCGGCUUCGUCCAGGCCGGCCCGAGUGUCCUGAGCUAGAAUAUUUUGGGCGAUAUCAAAUGAACUGGAGUUAAGCCCAUUGUUGAAAUCUGCUUCAAAAGAAUUUUCAACAGGUGAAUAUCUGAUACUUCGAUAGCGAGAUAUCCAAAAUCUUCUAGCAGCAAAUGUAAUGGCGAUAAUUAUAGCCAAAACAACAGUGACAUAAGAAACGAUUAUAUGAAAACUUG